AUUACUUUGGCAGAUUAGUGCAUUAAAUUUAGAAUUUAAUAAAAAUAUAAAAAGUUGUUAUUAUAUAAGUAAUA
rnacentral:tRNA from 1 species